rnacentral:lncRNA from 1 species
GCCUACAAAAAUCUGGAAAUGGGGCAGAGAAGCUGGAAAAAUCGAGAACAAAGAAAGAAAAGAGAGAAGCAAAGAAAUAAAGGAAAAGGAAAAAGAAAGGAAAAGAGGUAGGGUUGGCUAUUACAAUUUCAUCUUGAAUUUGACAAAUUUCUUGGUAUGUUUUAUGCUUAAUUUUUUUUUAAGGUUGCGAUUUAUAGGUUUCAUUUUCAGAUUGAAGGAAGGAGCCAAUAUUUUUGAAUUGGGAAGGCUACUUACAUUAAGGUAUGAAAUACCAAUUUUGGAAAAACCCUAGAAUUUUUAUUUGGGUUUUUGAAUGAGUAUAGUUAACAGGAAUAAUUGUGGAGAUGAAUUUGAAGGCAUGAAUUUAUGGAGCAAGAUGGAAAAUUAAAUUGGUUAAAUUAAAAUUAUUAGUUUUACUAGUUUGGAAGAUGGAAUUAUUUUUAUGUUUGGAGUGAAGAUUAUUUUGAUGAAUCAGAUUUUAAUGAAAGGACUAGAACGUUGAAUUAGUUCCAAUUGCGAAGGAAAUUAAAGAAUAUAUCCAAGUGUCGAGAAGUCGAGUAUUUCGUAGUUAAAAGUUAAGGAUACUUGGUAGGGUGGUUGUUAAAUUGGUUAUCUUGUAUCAUAUUUCAGUAGAUGACGAGAAGAUUGAAAUCAUGAUGAGUCCAUAACUUGGUGAGUGGAUAUAAAACUUAUUUUUCAGAAAUUAUUUAUUUAUUAAAUUUACAUUAAAUUAGAAAAUUUAUUAUUUCAUACAGUUGAUUUGACAGCAUGAUUUUCAAAAUAAAAUUGACUUAUAAACGGUUGUUUUUAAAGUUAUAUUCAAUUCAAUUAAAUUAUUUGAUUAGCGUGUUAUAUGAAUAUAAAUGUUUUAGUAUAGCUAAAGUUAUUUCUAAAAAUCACCAGAAAGUAUCCAGGUGAUUUUACCCGCUCUGCACUAUUAUGAAUGUGUUUCCAUAUUGUAUGACCAGAUUAUCAGAUGUCUUUGGAACCCACUCUCGUCCACACAUAGGCUUUGGACUAAGUACUAGGGUAAUUAGCCUUUGGGGCAGCUCUGCAUACGUAUGACUAGAUUAUCAAAUGUGAAUGGUUUUGCCUUGUACAUCGAGAUUACUCUGUACAUGAGUAAGGCUAUUCAUUGGGUAUCUUUUUGGUGUGAUUUUCAGUAUUAUAUAACUUAUCAGAUUUCAGACUACAGAAUUUAGCUUAUUCAGUUUGCAAAGUAAUGAUUUCAACUUAUAAUAUUGUGACAAAAUUAUAUUCAUCAUAUCUUACUGCUACUUAUCUAGAAUGAAGAAUAAAGAAUUUUAUGAUGCAUCCAUGUUUAGUUUUAAAAAGUGUUAUCAGAUUUCAAAAUUUCUUAAAGUUUUAAUAGAACAAGAAUUUUCAGAAAAUAUGCAUAAAUGAGAAAAGUAUACUUAUUUGCAAACCAUCCACUUACCGAAUUGCAAGCUCAUGUUUUUCCACCCUUUUUCUGAGCAGAUAGUAGUAAAGUUGAGCAGUCAUGGAGCUUGUCAAUUCACCUAAUUGAGCCACAUGUCAGUAAUUGUAUAGCCUACUUUAUCAGAUUAUCAUUUGAUAUCUUUAGUACGUUUGGGGACCUUUGGUUGUAGAGUAAAGUUAUUAUCGAUUUGCUAGUAUUCUAUUUGAAUAGUUUGGAUUUUGAAGGGCUGGUGUAACAUGUUUUAUAUUAUAUGUAGUGAUUUAAGGAAAAUUGGUAAUUGUUCAGGUGGUUUUAAUUCGUAUUUCAGGGAAAAUUCUGUUAAAAUUUUUUUUUAGUCAAGCAAAUCAAGGUUACCUUGGUUGUGGGCCGACAUUGAAUUGGUAUUUAUCAUCGGCGCACGACACGUGUCAAGUUCACUAAGCUGAUUUGGAACGGGUUUGUGUCAAUCUCUCUAACUCACUUGACUGAGAGCUCUUUCUAAAUUCGACAAUUUAGUCAGUGUAGACCAACUGUUGUUCAUGAUGAAUAUUUAAUGUCUAGCAAUUUUACUGAGUACUCCCUUCUGGAUUCUACAACUUGAAUGGUUCAUCGAUAGUCUCAAUUGUAUUGGGUAUGUGACUUGAGACAGGGGUCUGACUGUUUCACUUUUUUGAGUCGCUUUGCUUUUCCCAAGUUGCUUUUAAUUUCUAACUUUUCUUUGAACUAACAGAGGUUUCCUUGUUUAUGGUUUCAGGUUGAUGGUUGAUAACAAGUUCAGGCAACGCAUGCUGACGAUAUUUUACAAGGGAUACCGAAAUCUAGUUCAUAGGAUGAUGUUUAAUAUAUGGAUGUAUCAGUUGGUUCUCUGGUUUAUGUUCUAAAUACUGCUUGUGCAAGGAAACUUAUCCAACUUCCUUUAUUUUGUCUUGGUGUGAAGAUUGUAUAAACUAUCACAGAUGAUAAUUUAUUUUUUCUUAUGACCUGUGUUUUUACUUCCAUAACGAAUUGAAGGAUGUUAGAAUCCGUUGGAUUGCAAAGAUGGAAUUUGGAUAGAAAGAAAACGAAUUUUAG